UAGGAGGUAGCGCUUCCUAUCACUUGCAUUUCGAACGGCAGCACGGGGGCAACCCUGGUGGCGAGUGGCGAACGGGUGAUUAACAUAUCGGAACGUGCCCUGGAGUGGGGGAUAACUAGUCGAAAGAUUAGCUAAUACCGCAUACGAUCUACGGAUGAAAGUGGGGGAUCGCAAGACCUCAUGCUCGUGGAGCGGCCGAUAUCUGAUUAGCUAGUUGGUGGGGUAAAGGCCUACCAAGGCAUCGAUCAGUAGCUGGUCUGAGAGGACGACCAGCCACACUGGGACUGAGACACGGCCCAGACUCCUACGGGAGGCAGCAGUGGGGAAUUUUGGACAAUGGGCGCAAGCCUGAUCCAGCAAUGCCGCGUGAGUGAAGAAGGCCUUCGGGUUGUAAAGCUCUUUUGUCAGGGAAGAAACGGUGGAGGUUAAUACCUUCUGCUAAUGACGGUACCUGAAGAAUAAGCACCGGCUAACUACGUGCCAGCAGCCGCGGUAAUACGUAGGGUGCAAGCGUUAAUCGGAAUUACUGGGCGUAAAGCGUGCGCAGGCGGUUGUGCAAGACAGAUGUGAAAUCCCCGGGCUCAACCUGGGAAUUGCAUUUGUGACUGUACGGCUAGAGUGUGUCAGAGGGGGGUAGAAUUCCACGUGUAGCAGUGAAAUGCGUAGAGAUGUGGAGGAAUACCGAUGGCGAAGGCAGCCCCCUGGGAUAACACUGACGCUUCAUGCACGAAAAGCGUGGGGAGCAAAACAGGAUUAGAUACCCUGCUAGUCCACGCCCUAAACGAUGUCUACUAGUUGUCGGUGUCUUUAUUGACUUGGUAACGCAGCUAACGCGUGAGUAGACCGCCUGGGGAGUACGGUCCGCAAGAUUAAAACUCAAAGGAAUUGACCGGGGACCCGCACAAGCGGUGGAUGAUGUGGAUUAAUUCGAUGCAACGCGAAAAACCUUACCUACUCUUGACAUGGUCGGAAGCUUGAGAGAUUGAGGCGUGCUCGAAAGAGAGCCGAUACACAGGUGCUGCAUGGCCUGUCGUCAGCUCUUGUCGUGAGAAGUUGGGCUUACGUCCCGCAACCACUGCUAUCCUUGUCAUUAGGUUGCUACAUUUUAGUUUGGCACUCUAAAUGAAACCGCCGGGUGAACAAACUGGAAGGAAGGUGGGGAAUGAGUCCAGUCCCUCAUGGCCCUAUGGUUAGGCCUCACGGUCAUCCAUGCUCAUACGUAGGAGGCCCGCUCCAUAACCCCGGCUCAU
rnacentral:rRNA from 1 species